GAUGAACGCUGGCGGCGUGCCUAAUACAUGCAAGUCGAGCGAACAGACGAGGAGCUUGCUCCUUUGACGUUAGCGGCGGACGGGUGAGUAACACGUGGAUAACCUACCUAUAAGACUGGGAUAACUUCGGGAAACCGGAGCUAAUACCGGAUAACAUGUUGAACCGCAUGGUUCAACAGUGAAAGACGGUCUUGCUGUCACUUAUAGAUGGAUCCGCGCCGCAUUAGCUAGUUGGUAAGGUAACGGCUUACCAAGGCAACGAUGCGUAGCCGACCUAAGAGGGUGAUCGGCCACACUGGAACUGAGACACGGUCCAGACUCCUACGGGAGGCAGCAGUAGGGAAUCUUCCGCAAUGGGCGAAAGCCUGACGGAGCAACGCCGCGUGAGUGAAGAAGGUCUUCGGAUCGUAAAACUCUGUUAUUAGGGAAGAACAAAUGUGUAAGUAACUAUGCACGUCUUGACGGUACCUAAUCAGAAAGCCACGGCUAACUACGUG
rnacentral:rRNA from 1 species